rnacentral:rRNA from 1 species
UACAGAGGUUUCAAGCGUUGUUCGGAUUCAUUGGGCGUAAAGGGUGCGUAGGCGGCGCGGUAAGUCGGGUGUGAAAUCUUGGAGCUUAACUCCGAAACUGCAUUCGAUACCGCCGUGCUUGAGGACUGGAGAGGAGACUGGAAUUUACGGUGUAGCAGUGAAAUGCGUAGAUAUCGUAAGGAAGACCAGUGGCGAAGGCGGGUCUCUGGACAGUUCCUGACGCUGAGGCACGAAGGCCAGGGGAGCAAACGGG